UACGAAGGGGGCUAGCGUUGCUCGGAAUCACUGGGCGUAAAGGGUGCGUAGGCGGGUCUUUAAGUCAGGGGUGAAAUCCUGGAGCUCAACUCCAGAACUGCCUUUGAUACUGAGGAUCUCGAGUUCGGGAGAGGUGAGUGGAACUGCGAGUGUAGAGGUGAAAUUCGUAGAUAUUCGCAAGAACACCAGUGGCGAAGGCGGCUCACUGGCCCGAUACUGACGCUGAGGUGCGAAAGCGUGGGGAGCAAACAGG
rnacentral:rRNA from 1 species